rnacentral:rRNA from 1 species
AGAGUUUGAUCCUGGCUCAGAUUGAACGCUGGCGGAAUGCUUUACACAUGCAAGUCGAACGGCAGCACGGACUUCGGUCUGGUGGCGAGUGGCGAACGGGUGAGUAACAUAUCGGAACGUAUCCAAUAAUGGGGGAUAACUAAUCGAAAGGUUGGCUAAUACCGCAUACGCCCUACGGGGGAAAGCUAGGGACCUUCGGGCCUGGCGUUAAUGGAGCGGCCGAUAUCUGAUUAGCUAGUUGGUGAGGUAAAGGCUCACCAAGGCGACGAUCAGUAGCUGGUCUGAGAGGACGACCAGCCACACUGGAACUGAGACACGGUCCAGACUCCUACGGGAGGCAGCAGUGGGGAAUUUUGGACAAUGGGCGCAAGCCUGAUCCAGCCAUUCCGCGUGAGUGAAGAAGGCCUUCGGGUUGUAAAGCUCUUUCGCAAGGGAAGAAAACUUAGUUACUAAUAUUAACUGAGGUUGACGGUACCUUGAUAAGAAGCACCGGCUAACUACGUGCCAGCAACCGCGGUAAUACGUAGGGUGCGAGCGUUAAUCGGAAUUACUGGGCGUAAAGCGUGCGCAGGCUGUUUUGUAAGUCAGAUGUGAAAUCCCCGAGCUCAACUUGGGAACUGCGUUUGAAACUACAAGACUAGAAUAUGUCAGAGGGGGGUAGAAUUCCGCGUGUAGCAGUGAAAUGCGUACAGAUGUGGAGGAAUAUCAAUGGCGAAGGCAGCCCCCUGUUAUAUCAUUGACGCUCAUGCACUGAAAGCGUGGGGAGCAAACAGGAUUAAGAUACCCUGCUAGUCCGCGCC